GGCCAGUGUUGAGAUAUAAUCUCUCCACCUAGUCCUGGGUCUUCCCCGAGGUCUCCUCCCCACUGGACGUGCCUGAAACACCUCCCAAGGGAGGCGCCCAGUGGGCAUCCUUACCAGAUGCCCGAACCACUUCAGCUGACUUCUUUCUAAGUAAAGGAGCAGCGGCUCUAAUCCGAGUUCCUCACGGAUGGCCGAGCUUCUCACCCUAUCCCAAAGGGAGACGCCAGCUAGCCACCCUUCUGAGAAAAUUCAUCUCGGCCGCUUGUACCCGCGAUCUCGUCCUUUCGGUCAUCACCCAGCCCUCAUGACCAUAGGCGCCAUGGUACAAUUCACAGAUAGAGUUGGGGAAGAGAUGAAAGAAGACACUGCAGAUAUAAGAGGUGGAGCACCGAGUGAAAGGGACAUAAAGAAGAUAAUGUCCAAUGAAGCAGUUUUAAUAGAGUCCAAGUCAUUUUAUCAGGGAAGACCAUGUGAUGUGUUUGCAUGCUUCAUCGUUUAAUAUAGAGGCAGGAUAUUCUAGUGGCUAGGCUCCCAAAUGAAAGGUUCUGGAUUCAAACAAAAAUGUCUUCCUAUUCCUUCCCUGAGCAACCAUUGAAUAUGGCAAUGUUCCAACCCGAAGAUAAGGGCCAAAACGUGGUCGAGUCCCAUAAAAAUCUGGAGAGAAAUGCCACCAGAGACCUAACCGGGCGAGUUUUUUUACUUAGCCACUUAUUCAUUCAUGAAAAGAAACACAGUAGAAGUGCCAUUGGGUUGUGGUGUUAUGUAAUCAUUCAUAUAUCGUCAGGGUUCUGGAAAUGGAACUUAAGAAUCUACGAAUCUACGAUAGAUGACCGUGUUCCAAUGGAGUGGCGAAAUCACGCCCCUUCCGCUAGAGCUCAUGGGACCUAUGAGAUCGAAAAAUAUGAAUGGGUGCCAAUGGAGAGAAAAUAUUUAUCUUCUGGUCCCAGUCUUUAUAUGCCCUGGAUUACACAUAUGUUGUUUGUGGAUUUAAAUGAUAAUUUGUCAUGCAAAGGAAACUAAAAAUUUUCGUGAAGAAGUAUGAUAAUUUUAGGUUUUAUGUGAGGCCGCUUUGUGAACUACAGCUCUUCGCUGCUCUCGACGCAUAUGAUAUACGUCACCACAACCGCACUUGGAACUCGGCAGCUAUAAAAAGCUAUAAAAAGAUAUAAAAACUACAAAAUGACUCUAUUAAUGCAGGCUAUGUGGAAAAUGCGCCGACUUUGGCUCAGCCUGGCUCCGCCUCUUCCGCUACGUAGCUAAGAUGGCUGCCGUUGAGUACGGAAAGUGUCCUUCGAUCCCUUCGAUCCACACUUCACGAUUAGCCCGUUUUGAGUACGACAUCCGGGUCCUUGAAGAAUACUUCUUUUCGCCAGAUUGGAACGUACUACGUACUUAAAAUUUGGCUAGUAAGUAAAGUACGGACUGUACGGGUAUUGGAACACGGCACAUGGGUGAGACUCCUUAGCUGUGUCCCAAUUCCUCUACGAAUAGUCUAAUCUCCUAUCCCUUACUUAACCUUUGUGGAAAACGUCAUCGGUCAAGGAGAGAUGAAAAUGUGCUUCCUUUCGAACAUAGGAAAAGACAGCGCUGUUAAAAAUGAAUUCUACUCCACUUUUCCUAACCGACGUCAUUGCGCAACGGGAAGUAUUGCUGACCUCUAGCGUUUCUACGGUGGAACUACAUUUUUCCGAAGUUGGUCUACAACAGGGGUUCUCAGAGUUUUGACAGCUGAGGGCCAAUUUAGUGACCCAAAAUUUGACUGAGGGCCGCCAAAGGAAAAAAAAUUAGGCGGGUAACGCCGUCAGCAUCCCAGUGGUGAAAAACAUUGCACCGUGGACCUCUGGGAGUUAGGUCAAGUGAGGUCUAAAUCACAAAACUGAGGUUCAUCCUUUCAAAGUAAUUUACAGUCGGAUUAAAACUAACAAAUAAAAUGAUUUAAUUGAAAGCUAAAGAGAGUCGACUUUUCUCUUUAUAUUUAUUUAUUUUUAUUUAAAUUUAUAUUGAUAUAAUAAAAAAAAAAAACGUUGGCCUACUGGCAAUGAUGGAAAAGUAUAACAAAAUGGGGAACAACUUCACGUGACAAAUGAAGAAAGAGGGAACAGAAAUUGUUUGCUUUGCAAUUAUUACAUUAUCUUACGCAUGUUGGGAACCACCCAAACCUAGUUCUUAGAAUUCAUAUUAUUGCGCAAGGGCUUUCAAGUGCUCCAUAAGCUAAAUCCCCAUUUUGUUCCCUUAUUGAGCAAUAGAUUGUAACAUAACUGAUUCUAAUUUAUUUAUUUAAAUGGAGGAUACUGGUUUGGAUUGUGGAGAUUCACCAUGCUCUCAAUCAUGGUGAGGUUCAAUAUGGAACAUUCUUCCUAGACGGAUAUGCCCAGAGUACACACACAGCCUACGAAUUUGCAGGGUGCUUUUAUCAUGGUAGUGAACAUUGCUACAACACGGGCCAUCAAUGGCGAUUCUACACGGGGGCCUAUAGGGGCCAGUGCCCCUUUAGACACGUCCCUGCC
ensembl:lncRNA